rnacentral:lncRNA from 1 species
GGAAGGGGUGUGGUGGCUGUGGCUGCCCAGCUGAGAGCUGGAUUGGGGGAAAUCAGGAAGUCCAGGCUCCCUUCCAAAGCAAAUUGGAAAGAUCCGCAGCAGCCAGGGCCGUAAGACAAACAAGAGUCCCCAAAUGCAAGAGUAGCAGAGGAUGUUUCCUUUCUAUGAAAAGCCAGGAAGACACGGGCACAUGAGUACAACAAAACUACGUCAGAGAACCUAGGCCUGUGAGCUUGGCAAAGACUCAACAGUGAAGGAUGCUGUCACCUCUCCAGGACCAUGGGACGGAGUGGCACCUAAGCGGGGUGUGAAGACACCUGCAGACUGCCAGCCUGUCUUCCGGUAAAUUCAUCAUGGAAUCACAGCAUCCCCAUCAUGGUGCCCACAGAUCCAGUGGGAGAAGCAGGGAGGUCCACAGUUUCAGGCCACACGAAGGUGCACGUGUCAGGAUUAUCUAUAAGACCCUGGACAGGAGCCAGACCUGUCUUCUGCAGGACAGCACAGCCAUAGGUCACUCCAGGAAGCCCAUCUGGAGCCGCUGAGACAAUGGGAGGAGUUCUCUAGGCUUGUCUUAAACCUGUGUUUGCAGAGCAUACACACUGAUUUCAUUUAUAUGAUGUGCUAUAAAUCAAUAAAAAGCAAUCUUC